rnacentral:rRNA from 1 species
ACAGGUGUUGCAUGGCUGUCGUCAGCUCGUGUCGUGAGAUGUUCGGUUAAGUCCGCUAACGAGCGCAACCCUCGUCGUUAUGUUAUAUGUGUCAUACGAGACUGCCGGUAAAAGCCGAGGAAGGUGAGGAUGAUGUCAAGUCAGCAUGACCUUUUAUAUCCAGGGCUACGACACACGCUACAAUGGUCUGUACAAUGGGUAGCCAAGCCGCGAGGCGGAGCCAAUCCUGAAAGCAAGGCCUCAGUUCAGAUUGCAGUCUGCAACUCGACUGCAUGAAGCCGGAGUUGCUAGUAACCGCAGGUCAGCAAUACUGCGGUGAAUACGUUCCCGGGUCUU